GGACAGCAUUCUAAUGCGAAGGUAAAACUUUGUCGUCCGUUGUCUCCAACUCGUAUGCUCCUUUCCCUGCAAUGUCACGGAUUCUCUAUGGUCCUUCUCACGUUGGACUUAGCUUUCCUGAAUUAGCAGCCUUCGUAGAUUGGAACACCUUUUUGAGAACAAAGUCCCAAAUUUUGAAGAAACUGAGACGUGCUUUCCAGUUAUAGUAUCGUUCAAUUACUUGCUUUUGAGCUGUCAUCCUUAUUAAUGCAGCUUCUCUUCUUCCUUCAAGCAAAUCAAGGUUCACCCGUAACUCAUCAUUGUUUGAGUCUUCUCUUGCUUGAAUGUACCGUGUGCUUGGUUCCCCUAUUUCAACUGGUAUUAAGGCCUCUGCUCCAUAAACCAUUGAUAAUGGCGUUUCUCUUGUGCUUGUUUUCGUUGUUGUUCGAGACGCCCAUAAUACCGCAGGUAAUACCUCGGGCCAAUUACAUUUCGUUUCUCAUGUGCUUGUGUUCACCGUUGUUCGAUACGCCCAUAAUACCGCAGGUAACACUUCAGGCCAAUUACCUUUUGAACCUUAUAAUCUUUUCUUUAAAUUAUUGAUUAUGGCCUUUUUUGUGGAUUUCGCUUGUCCAUUGCCUACCGUAUGAUAUGUUGUUGAUGUUAUCCUUUUAAUCUGCCAAAUUUGAAAGAAUUCCAUGAUUUGUGCUCCUAUGAAUUGUGGAUCAUUAUCACAUACGAUUUACUUUGGUACCCCUAAAGCAACAUAUUAUUGUUAGGAUUUAUGCCCUUCACAGGGGGGGUGAAUAGUGAGGCACGAGAAUGUCGGUAAAUUUUGCGGAAUUAAAAUUGCAGGAGUAAAAUAAGUACGGUAAAUUAAAGAGUAAGGAAAGGACACACCGAAUUUAUACUGGUUCACCACAGCAUGUGGUUAGUCCAGUCCCCAAGAGACUCUCUCGAGUUUACACUAACUCCGUUAAGCUUACGGGUGCCUAACAAACCGUUACACUUGCUCGUAGAUGUACACUCUACAAGGCUUCAGCUCUACAAGACUUCACUUGCUCGAGGAUACCUCACCUCAAGACUUCACAAUGCUCGUGGAUACCGCACCAUAAGACUUCACACACUAAGAUUGAAGGUACUUAGCAAACCCGACGAUCAAUGA
rnacentral:lncRNA from 1 species